UACGUAGGAGGCGAGCGUUGUCCGGAGUACUGGGCGUAAAGCGCACGCAGGCGGUCAGAUCAGUCUGGAGUGACAGUCGUCGGCUUAACCGACGAAGUGUUCUGGAAACUGUCUGACUUGAGGGCUUCAGAGGGACACGGAAUUCCGGGUGGAGUGGUGAAAUGCGUAGAUAUCCGGAGGAACACCAAUGGCGAAGGCAGUGUCCUGGGAAGUACCGUGG
rnacentral:rRNA from 1 species